rnacentral:rRNA from 1 species
UUGAACGCUGGCGGCAUGCUUUACACAUGCAAGUCGAACGGUAACAGGGAGCUUGCUCCGCUGACGAGUGGCGAACGGGUGAGUAAUGCAUCGGAACGUGCCUAUUUGUGGGGGAUAACGUAGCGAAAGUUACGCUAAUACCGCAUAUGCCCUGAGGGGGAAAGGGGGGGAUCGCAAGACCUCUCGCUUUCGGAGUGGCCGAUAUCGGAUUAGCUAGUAGGUGAGGUAAAGGCUCACCUAGGCGACGAUCCGUAGCUGGUCUGAGAGGACGACCAGCCACACUGGAACUGAGACACGGUCCAGACUCCUACGGGAGGCAGCAGUGGGGAAUUUUGGACAAUGGGCGAAAGCCUGAUCCAGCCAUACCGCGUGAGUGAAGAAGGCCUUCGGGUUGUAAAGCUCUUUCAGCCGGAAAGAAAUUGCUUCUAUUAAUACUAGGAGUAGAUGACGGUACCGGAAGAAGAAGCACCGGCUAACUACGU